AGAGGUUAGAAGGAGGCUGUACCUCACGGGAGAAGAAGUCACAAAAGGCCAAGGGACAUCAUAGUGGUUGGGGCUUGGAGGCCACCAUCCUAUUCCAACACCCUUGUGAUCUCAGGUGGGCCUGAGCAUUCCAACGUUCUAGAAACUCACUCUGGAUUUUCUGUGGGAGGGCUGAGCUGAGCACACUACAGGUCUUCUGCAGGGACACCUCAUUUGUUUUCUAAACAUGCUCAGGCAUCCUGGAACUUCCAAAAUAAUCCAAAGUUAAAUUUGGCCUGCUCUGCACACUGGAGUAUGGGAAACCCCUGCCUAUUUUAUUUCAUCACAUCAAGGACCAAGGUUUCAGCAACACUAGGAUGUCACUGUCAAGAGGUGGAAAGCUGUGGGGAGGCACACAGCCUCUUUCCAAUAGCCAAAUGAUUAGGAAGACCUCCUGCCUGUUCUCGCCACCUACUGGACUCUUUCUGCCACAUCUCCUCCUGCUGAACAUUCCCGAAGCUCCUUCAGGAGCUGUGACAGUUCCUUUCAAAGCCUUGUAUGACUUUCUAUUACUUUAAAGGGUAUUGGCCAAAGCUCAUAUUGUGGAACUAUAUAGGAACCCAUUUGUGCUGUCCAAAACCAAAAGAAUAAAUUUGUUUAAAGGACA